AUGAACGCUGGCGGCGUGCCUAAUACAUGCAAGUCGAGCGAACAGACGAGGAGCUUGCUCCUCUGACGUUAGCGGCGGACGGGUGAGUAACACGUGGAUAACCUACCUAUAAGACUGGGAUAACUUCGGGAAACCGGAGCUAAUACCGGAUAAUAUAUUGAACCGCAUGGUUCAAUAGUGAAAGACGGUUUUGCUGUCACUUAUACAUGGAUCCGCGCCGCAUUAGCUAGUUGGUAAGGUAACGGCUUACCAAGGCAACGAUGCGUAGCCGACCUGAGAGGGUGAUCGGCCACACUGGAACUGAGACACGGUCCAGACUCCUACGGGAGGCAGCAGUAGGGAAUCUUCCGCAAUGGGCGAAAGCCUGACGGAGCAACGCCGCGUGAGUGAUGAAGGUCUUCGGAUCGUAAAACUCUGUUAUUAGGGAAGAACAAAUGUGUAAGUAACUAUGCACGUCUUGACGGUACCUAAUCAGAAAGCCACGGCUAACUACGUG
rnacentral:rRNA from 1 species